GAUAAAAGCCACAACGAUAAUCUUCGGAGCCUGGAAUGAUGCUGGUUCCGAGAGCUGGCUGCUGUGUUAGUAUCUCUGCUCUGAAACAUUGUUGGAGGUUAGUACAGUCGGGACAACUUCCCCAAAAAAGAAUCUGGCAGUGCCUUUCAAGAGCCACAGACUAUUCUGGUUCUGUAGUUUUGGGAGUUGAAUUUGGAAUCUCUACAAUUAGAGAAAAACUACAGGCGUCAAUGUUGUUGUGUCACCUCUAUUUCCAUCAUAUUCGGUGUGCUUUAUUUAUAUGAUUAUUCAUUAGUUCAGGAGAUCUUCUGAGGUUGGUGUCCCUAGAAGCAGAGCCUGAGAUGGGGACUGUUUUGCAGUGAUUCAGUGAGAGUGUUUGCAGGUAAAACCUGCAAGGGACUGAGGGGUCCAGGAUGGGACUGAGGAAGAAGCCAGGUGAACACGUGGACUCAGCUUCAAGCCCAACCUCAACCUGAGCCCACGGGGAGCUCUGGAGCGUGAGCAGUCCCAUUGGUUGUCCCACCUUGAACAAGGGGCUGCCCUUUUGCACAAUGCAGGUUGCUGGCUGAGUGUAAUGACCUGGGGGGAGGGUGGGAUUGUCCCUGCCUUUCCAGGUGAGGCAGCUCCUAUCAACUCUGGAGAAGGGUUCAGCUCACAGCACCUGGAGGAUGGAUACCCCAGCCUGGGGAUGGGGGUCUGGACACUGGCAAGCACGUCUCUCCUCUCCAGGUUGGAGAUUAUAAUUGGUGUGUAGAACCCAGCUCAGCUCAUCAAGUCUAGUAUUCCUUGAGGGCAGAUCUCCUGGACCCCACUUAGGUUUCGUCACCAAACCCUAUUUUGUUUUCUUCUGGGAACGACAUACCCCUUUAUCUGCAAGUGGUUCUUCCACUGGGACCUCCUAAACUGUUUCUCCAAAACCCCACCCCCUCCCCUCCACCCCAUUUUCUACCCCUAUUCCAGCCAUAGGUGAGUAGCUGAAGAAACUGACAAAAACAGGAAGAAGACAUUGGUAGAUGUGAGGCAGAAGUGUGGCUCUCACAUGUUCAAAAGUUGGGGACUAUGUCUGUUUUUCUUGUUGGUGCCAACCCGAUGUAUCACAGUAACAGAACGCAUGAGUCAGAAGGUUGUCCGGUCCCCUUGGGGAGCAUCUGUCCUGUUCUGGUUCAGCCUUCGGAGUGUGUGCCUCUUCUUCCAAGAGUGUGCUCCCCUAGAAAACCCUCGGAGUGAUACCAGGCGUGGAGAAGCCGGCUGGCCUUCUGUAUACAGUCUUCUCAGCUUUAGUUUCCACUGCCAAUCCUUUUGUUUAUCUUCCAUGGAAUUUUAAAGAGAAAUUGGGAGGAUUCUCAAAGCUAUCAGGAAUGGCCAGUCUUCUGCCAAGUUAAUUCAGAAGAGUUUUUAAAAGGAAAAGAAAAAGUGUUUGCACAUUUGAGAACUUUUCUGAGAAUGCCUUCGAAGUGAUGUCUUUUUUGCUAAAGACUUCCUGUUUAAACCAGAUAGUCUUAUUUCUACAUACACUUGAGAAAUAAAUGAUAAAUAUGCAAAUUCAAAAGGAAUAAAUGAAAAGCACUGAGGCUUUUCCACAUGAAGUCUUAAAAAUAGUCAAAAGACAAGGGGAUCUAAUGGCGGAAUAGGAGACAAAGAUUACAGAGAAGCAGAACAAUUCAGGAAGAACUGAAGUGGUCAAGGGCUUAGGUUUUUAGUUCAAAUCCCUGUCCUACUCCUGAACAUCUGCCACUUUGGACAAGGUUAUCUUCCCAAGCCUCAGUUUCUUCAGCUGUGUAAUGGGAAUGACGUUUCCUUCCUCUCUGGGCCAGCAUGGUGAUGGCUGGGGGGAUAUCUGCCCUGCAGGCUCUGGAGUCAGAAUGCCUGGCUUUCAGUUUUGGCUUCGCCACGUCCCAGCUGUUUGACCUUAGACUCAAUAACCAUUUCAGUCUCCUUUCCUGAAAAAAUGAGUAUAAUGAGAGUACUUAUCUUCUAGGGGAUGAUUGGAGAAUUAAAUGAGUUAAAACCACUGAAAUGCUUAGAAGAAUACUUGGCAUGUAACAAGCCUUAAAACAACAUUGGCUGCUUCAGUAUCCUGUGAUAAACCAUAAUGGAAAAGAAUGCGAAAGAGAAUGUAUACGUAUAUACAUGUAUAUGUAUAACUGAAUCACCUUGCUGUACAGCAGCAAUUAAUGCAACAUUGUAAAUCAACUAGACUCCGAUAAGAUAAAUUUAAAAAACAACAUUGGUUGCAAUGUGUUAGAUAUUAUCAUGAUUUUUAAAUUAACUAAUGUAUACAAAGAAAAUGAUAAGUGGUCAAUAAAUGUUAAAACAACGAUUUGAUCUGUAUGUAUUUCAUAGCAAGUGGUAUAUCAUAUAUGAACACCAACUAAAUGUUUCUGAUUUGACGUCACCAUCACUAAGGACAAAUAACUCACACGUCGCAUGACAAGCUGUUUCCAACUUCAAAAGGAUGAACGGAUUGUGGUUGACUUCAGGAGUUGGAAAGCAGGAGGGUCUUUAUGGCUGAUCCCAAGGCUUAGAAGCAAGAGAAGGAUGAAAACCUUGACCCCAAGAAACAGCUCAAUACAGGAAGUGAUGAGGCCGAAGGGAAAGUUUAAGGAUGUGACGGGAAAGACUGGAGCUCUCGCUUAUCGGAGGGGAUUCCUGAGCCACCAGGCAUGAUGUCUGGCUCUGCGGCCACGCUGGUGCUCAGGAAGCUGGCGUUCACUACGCUUGGAGCCUGGAGGAAGGAAGAACCAGGCAAGCUCUAGAACGGGAGACGGGCAUUCAGGUAACGGCAGCCGGCAGAGGGGUGGGCUUCGGGUCGGUAUCUCCCCAGGUGAAUCUCCUCCGACCACGAGCACUGAGCUCACCUGGUGUACUGGUUGACAAGGCAGACCCCCAGCCUCUCCCCCAGACCUACUAAGCCAGCACCCCUGGUGGCGAGGCCCUGGAAUCAGCAUAGUAACAGCCACUCCAAAACUUUCCCAUUCUUCUGCAUGUUAAUACCGGAGAACCCCUGGCUUAGGUUUUGUUCUCUAGAAAUCUGGGUGCCUGGCUGAGAAAUGGGAACAACUGUCCAGUUAUUUCCCAGAACUCUGAAGACUGAACAUCCACGCACAGGCCGUGCAUAGGGUUAUAACUGAAUAGAUCUCAUUCCCCUUAUAACGUCCCUAACGCACACAAUCGCUAUUGUGCUACUUGGUAAUUAGGCGUCAUUGUGAAUGUUUCCCCAAAUGACUGCGAUUCAUGUGGUUUUCAAACAUUUCAAGCCAGCAUUUCUGCCAGCAGCAGGGGAGAGAGGCGGGAGCUGGAGGGUGCUGUAAGGAGAAUAUCAACUCUUACCAGCAUAGGAUCCGGGUUGGGUGUGCCGUUCCUGCAGCUGGGACGCCCACGAUAGGAGAGGUCAUCGCUUCCUUUCCUGCAUGGAAGGCGGAGCCAGGCCCCAGUCUCGGCUUCCCGUGCCGUGUGGGUGUUCUCUGAAGCCCUAGCUCCCUGGCCCUUCUCAGGAGCCCAGCACACUGACCACUGGGCCCGCUAGCCUCUUCCCUGGGCUCCCUGGGCUGGGAAGGAGAGUCGGGUCAGCCACCUUGAGCGGUACAGCCCGAAGGAAGAUGCGGAAGAUUCGCAUCGCAGGACAGAAGAGCCUCU